rnacentral:rRNA from 1 species
UACGUAGGGCGCAAGCGUUGUCCGGAAUUAUUGGGCGUAAAGAGCGUGUAGGCGGCCACACAGGUCUGCUGUGAAAACUCGAGGCUCAACCUCGAGCUGUCGGUGGAAACCGUGUGGCUAGAGCCCGGAAGAGGAGAGUGGAAUUCCCGGUGUAGCGGUGAAAUGCGCAGAUAUCGGGAAGAACACCCGUGGCGAAGGCGGCUCUCUGGGACGGUACUGACGCUGAGACGCGAAAGCGUGGGGAGCGAACAGG